ensembl:lncRNA
AACAGCAUCAUUAUGAAGGGUUCAAUAAAAUUAAUUUUUCUAAAAUUUUAUGUCAUGAAAGAGCCCAAAUUUUUCACCUCACUAAAAGAAAAAAAAAAAAUCAGUAAUGUUUUAAAGCCAACUUUGCUUUGCUGAGAACUGGAAAGGAAACAUCUGGAGGGGCUGAGGGAGGGGAAGAGGAGGAGGAGGAAGAGGAGACAAAGAACAAUGCUGCCUGGCUCCAUCACCUGUCUAAAGAGGCACAGCAAAAGGUGGCCCAAAGGAAUAAAAAGCAUUGCAUAUAAGGUCCUAGGAUACUUUUAAAAAAAGUUGCCCAUGACAUAUGGACAACAGGAAAUAAGAUAUGACUGGAAGAUGCCGCACAAUCAAUACAACCUUUCCUUACAGAAUAUCCAUUUAGAGCUUCACAAUGAAGGAAGGUUUAUAAGAUUGCAUCUUGUUAGUAGGAAUGUAUAAACAGCUGUUAACUCCCCCUGGAUGUUUGGCUUCACUGAUGAGAAGAGUGCCAGGUUCAGUCUGUAACACAGACAUCAGUGUGGUCAGCUGCCAGCCUGGGGUGUGUAAUGACUGGCCACAGCAGCCGGGAAAGCCAUUCGAGAGAAAAAUCAGAAAUAAAUCUUGUUUUGAAGUCGAGUUUUAAACAUUAGGGAACUGAAGACAGAUCAAAGUUAAGAUUGAAGAUGUGCUUGUGAGGUGGCAAACUUGCUCGUGGAGUUCAUUAAACCUUCCUUGCUGUGCCAUAAAAUGGAACUGGACUGAUCAAAUCAUACAUUAGUUUUUGCUCGAGUGCAUUUAAAAAAAAAAAAAAGAAACAAAAACAUUGGCCUGUUAAAAAAAAUGUCGUUAAGGUCAUUCCUUCAUCUUCUAAUAAACAGCUCUAACACAUUCCAUAAGAUUACUUGUAUUUCUUGAAUACACAUUCAUUUUUUAUGCAAAAAAAAAAAUCAUUUGGAAAGUCUGUCACUCUUCAAGAAAGGUUAUGCUCCCUUUUAUUGAAAAAGGGAAAAUAUAAUCCUUCACAUUUCCUUUUGUUGCUUGCACAGGUUACUAUUAAUCAUAAUAAUGGCAUAACUUAAUGAUUUGGUUUUACUAUACCCAUUCUCUCCAAAUAAAACCUUUUAACUUCUGUUUUGAUGUCAAUGGUCUAAUUAAACAUGUUUGGAGUUAUAAGUGUUUUGAUUUCUUCAAAAAUAAAAGCAAUUUAAACAGUAGUUAUUGUUUUAUCAUGGAUUUUCAGGAUAUUUGCCCUUUCCCUACCCACCCAAAUUUACUGAAGAAAAAUCAUCAGUGUUCGACACGUAUCUGUCAAUAAGUUUCAAAUUCUAAGUUGACUUUUUCUCCUAUGAAAUUUAGGUGUUUCUGUGUUCCUUCUCAGAGCAAGAAAAUGCUAAAAUACAUUUGUAAAAGAAAACUUUAAAAAGAAGUAGAAUCUAGUAAGAGACUAAAUGUGUCUCUUAUAAAGUACACAGAGAUUGUUUUUUAGGAUUAAUUUUGACAACCAUGUUUCCAACUAGAGCAUGUAAUCCAUUACAAUUAAUAUAAAAUUGAUAUAUUUUGUUUAUAUCUAUAUCUAUCACGUUAUUUUAUUGUUUCUACUUGCUCCACUUGUCUUACUUUAUUUGUCCCCUUUCCCUCUUCUUGCCUUCCUCUGAAAUUCUUAUUAUUCCACUGUCUUUCCUCUGUUGCUUUGGAAGUCAUACACUUGUUUUUAUUACUUUAGUGAGUGGAUAAUGUGGAAAUUACAAUGUGCAUACUUAACCUACUAAAAUCUACAUUCAUCAAUAUCUUUGUCUUUUUCUUCCAAAAUAUGAAGACAUUAGAAAAUUUAACUCCAUGUGGCAGUCUUAGAAAUAACAGUGUUUCUCAGAUCUUCUGUUGUAAUGGAGCCUGUGACUGACUGCUUCUCUGGAUCCCCCACCAGCCUCAUGCAGAGACCAUGCUUCUCCUAGGCUGCUCUCAUGCUUUCCCCAGAAUGACCAGCGAGGACUAGAGUGUCAGGCUCAUGCCCAGCACAGGUUUCCUCCAUGGGACAACUUUUGCUUGAGAACUAGCCUUGACCUAGAUGAAAUAUUCUUCUAUCUAUGCUGCAAUCUGAUCCUCUUCCUGCCCAAUGUACCCUUCUCCUCUCUUUUCCCAUGUGGGAGGCCGCUACUUCAGUCCCCUUUAUUUAUUCUCUCCUCUCUUUAUUCUUCAUGGCUAAUCAAUCCCUUGCACAUUCAAUUUCCUGACAUAUGCCUCUUGAGGUCCCAACCUACAACAACUCAUUUAUUCACUUCCCGACUUAUAGAAUAUUAUUUGGUAGUUUAUUUCUCUCUCCUUUUAAUCCCAUGAGGCAUAAUUACUAUUCUUUUGUACAACCAAAGUUCAUCAAGAUGAAACCAAUAUUUACUGUUUUAUUUUUUAAUCUUUAUUUCUUCUUGCAUCUAAGCUCUUGCAUUGGCAUAAUUUUUCUUCUGAAGGAAAUCUGGGGGAUUCAUUAGGCUUCUCAAGUAUUUGGAGUUAUUCACCCUUCUAACACUAUGAUUAUACAUGUAUAAAAUUUUAUAUUUUAAUUUUUAUCACUUUGCCUCACUAUGUGGCAUUCCAGGUAAUUUCCUCAUGAAUUUUUUUAGGUAUUUCAAAAUGGUUAAUAUAUUUAACAAUUUUGUUUUUAAUUUUGUUUUAAUACAAUUUUUAUAUUAAAAAUUUUGUUUUAAAAUUUAAAAAUUUGUUUUAAACAAUUUUGUUUGCUUUAAACAAUUUUGUUUGCUUUAAUAUUUUGUUUCUAAUAUUAGGUAUUUUAGGUAUAGUUCUCUGGAGUUCCUUUUUUAAAAAAAAUUCUAUAACUUUUUCUUGUAGAUACAUGUUCCUUGAUUGCUUUUAGUUUUUCAUUGUGGCAAGAAUAUUGAUUUUAUCUUUUUUUGACACUUCUAGUAGUUGAA